GGGAUCUUGUUAAAAUGUGGAUUCUGAUUCACUAGGCCUGGGAUGGGGCCCAAGAUUCUGCAUUUCUAACAAGCUC
rnacentral:miRNA from 1 species